UCAUUCUCCUUCUGCUUCUUCUUCUCCUUGUUUCUCUUGUUUUCACGCAAUGAUCAACAUUAUUCUUAUUCUUAUUAUCAUUCUCCUUAUCAUUUUUAUCAUACUCUUUCAUCUUGCAUUUCCUGAUAGGCUUAGGCCGGAACUCGAGAAGGCUAGGAAGGAAAUGGAAGGGAAAAUGCAAUGGGAAUAUCGUCCUUUUUACAGGGGAGAGAGUGAUUGACAGCCACUUCAGCACUACUUGGAACAAUGCAUGCAUGGUAUCCUUAUAAAUAAAGUACGCGUAUGUGGACACCUUGGAGAUGUAUACUUCUUUGUAUUUCCUAAUAUGUAAUGGCAGCAAGUAAUCCCCACCCCCCCCCCUCUCUCUCUCUCUCUCUCUCUCUCUCUCUCUCUCUCUCUCUCUCUCUCUCUCUUUAUAUGCAUAUAAUAGGGGGAAAGUACUAAUAUUCCAUAGUUCUAAUGUGUACCCUUAAUAUAAAUUAAUGAACAUCAAUAAUAUAUCAGCUUAAUUUAUGAUCUCUUCAGUUUA